rnacentral:rRNA from 1 species
UACGAAGGGGGCUAGCGUUGUUCGGAAUUACUGGGCGUAAAGCGCACGUAGGCGGAUAUUUAAGUCAGGGGUGAAAUCCCGCAGCUCAACUGCGGAACUGCCUUUGAUACUGGGUAUCUCGAGUAUGGAAGAGGUGAGUGGAAUUCCGAGGGUAGAGGUGAAAUUCGUAGAUAUUCGGAGGAACACCAGUGGCGAAGGCGGCUCACGGGUCCAUUACUGACGCGGAGGUGCGAAAGCGGGGGGAGCAAACAGGAUGGAUAACCCGUAGUCC